ACUAUAGAUUCUUUAGGUUUUGGAUAAAGAUCAAAUCCUUGGGAGCAGCAAGGGGACGAUCUCCCGUGGGACGCUUCCCGCCGGAUCGCUGGCUUCAUUGGCCUGUAGCCGGAAUACGAGGAGGAGGGGGAGGACGCGCUCCGGACAAGAAGUGAUGGCAGGGGCCGUAAUGCCGCUGCCUCGAACCGCCGCUAGAGGGUUCAGCGUGCAGAUGCCCGUCGCCGUCGAGCGCCCCUGCUUCGGUUCGUUCCUCGUUCCCUGCGAUCCCGGCGAAGGCAGAGUUCAGGGUUUCAGGUGGUCCACUAGAAGACUACAUGGAUGAGGACGGAGAUAUGGCAGAUGAGUUCUUGAGUGUAGCAACUGAGAUGCUCCCCGAUGAGAACCAAACAGCUCCACAUAAGUUGCACACAGUACUACUACCAUAGCCAUAAGGAAUCAGGUCAUUGUUGCCGAUGGGAAAUACAUCAGACUAUCAGAGCUUAGAAUCCUAAUCAAUAUUUAGAAUGGCAGAUUGGAAGAUCUUGAAAUGUCGUUGAGCUAUCCUCAACAUCUAGCAAUGUGCUAGGGUUUUCCAUGGUGCAUAAUGGGCGGGUGGUUCAAUUGUUACCGCUACGUUGUAAACUAUAAUAAUAUGCCCUUUGAGUAUGUAUAAGUCUAUUUUUACAAAGUAGACAAAUCAAAUGGAAAGGUCAUCUACUUUCAAGAUUAGAUGGCAAAAAGUAAAAUAGCAUGUCUUUUCGUUGA